AUGAAGGCCCGUCUCUCACACCGUCAGACGCCACCGGAUUCAUCACACGAGCUUGCGGACCAGGAGGAUUACAGAGUCAGCGAGGAGGAUUUCUGCAAGCACCUCGCUGUUUUGUCCAGCAGGCCUCGUCCCACAACCAUCGUCGGGCCCAGGAUUGACAGUGAACAGCAGCGCGAGGUCUACGAGCGCCUUGCGCUCUACCGCAUCAGAGCAUCCAAGAUGGCACAGGGAGUGUCCAUGAAUGAGCUGGAUGACAUGACUCUGAGAAAGGAAUACCCCCCGGAAGCUCUCGAGGAGACGUGUUACUUCAGUGACUACGACCAUGGUGGCACGCGGUACCUUGACUGGGAGAAGUACUGCUCAUGGUUUACUACCUACGAAACAGAUGAAGAGUAUCUCAAGUACUUUGAAGAAAUAUCAAAGAAAAUUAAGUGGAUUAAAUGUUACAUGAAAUUUGAACGAGGAUCUCCUGAGUGGAUAGAGAUGGAAGCUAGAGGAUUUUGGCAAGCAGUGGAGAUCGCGGUAGACUUUCCACACAUGAGCUUUGAUUUAGCUUUGACUGCAUACACGGAUCAUAUUUUUAACACGAGAUUUGAUUAUUUUGACCAUGAAGAAAUUGAUCCUCUUCUUUUUGAGAUUUGGAAACGUCUCACUAAGCAAAAGAUUACAUUCAGACAGGCUCUAGACCAAGUCCAGCAAGAGAACAUGUUCCCUCGACAGGAGAAGUGUAUACAAUUUGUACUGGAUAAUACUAGUAUCUAUACUCGUUUGCAAUCAACUUUUGAUACUUGCGUGGAAGACAUCUCUGAUGAGACUCCAGAGGAUGAAGGCCGCAGGUUAAUUACAAUGGCGGUUUCGAGCAAGCUUCACAAAGAGAAGACAUGGAAUGAGUAUAUUAUGAGGAAGAUAGAGAUUGCUAAACACAUUGGGUUGGAUCUCCAAGCUACAUGUAUCCGAAUUUUAAGACCCAGAAGGAUGUGGACUCUUGUUGUAGAACAAAAUAUUGUUCGGUGCCCAGAUGCACCUGGGCAUGGACAGUAA
rnacentral:rRNA from 1 species